rnacentral:rRNA from 1 species
GAUGAACGCUAGCGGCAGGCUUAACACAUGCAAGUCGAGGGGCAGCACGUCUUCGGAUGGUGGCGACCGGCGCACGGGUGAGUAACGCGUAUGCAAUCUACCUUUUACAGGGGCAUAGCCCGGGGAAACCCGGAUUAAUAUCCUAUAGUACCAUUAUAUAGCAUUAUAUUAUGGUUAAAGUUUCGGCGGUAAAAGAUGAGCAUGCGUCCUAUUAGCUUGAUGGUAAGGUAACGGCUUACCAUGGCUAUGAUAGGUAGGGGUCCUGAGAGGGAGACCCCCCACACUGGUACUGAGACACGGACCAGACUCCUACGGGAGGCAGCAGUGAGGAAUAUUGGACAAUGGGCGGCAAGCCUGAUCCAGCCAUGCCGCGUGCAGGAAGACGGCCCUAUGGGUUGUAAACUGCUUUUAUACGGGAAGAAACACCCCUUCGUGAAGGGACUUGACGGUACCGUAUGAAUAAGGAUCGGCUAACUCCGUGCCAGCAGCCGCGGUAAUACGGAGGAU